rnacentral:rRNA from 1 species
UACGUAGGGCGCAAGCGUUGUCCGGAAUUAUUGGGCGUAAAGAGCUCGUAGGCGGCUUGUUGCGUCGGUUGUGAAAGCCCGGGGCUUAACCCCGGGUCUGCAGUCGAUACGGGGCAGGCUAGAGUGUGGUAGGGGAGAUCGGAAUUCCUGGUGUAGCGGUGAAAUGCGCAGAUAUCAGGAGGAACACCGGUGGCGAAGGCGGAUCUCUGGGCCAUUACUGCGCUGAGGAGCGAAAGCGUGGGGAGCGAACAGG